ACGCUAGCGGCAGGCCUAAUACAUGCAAGUCGAACGGUGAUAGCAAUAUCAUAGUGGCGCACGGGUGCGUAACACGUAUGCAACCUACCUUAUACUGAGGGAUAGCCUUUCGAAAGGGAGAUUAAUACCUCAUAACACAUUGAACUGGCAUCAGUUUAUUGUUAAAGAUUUAUUGGUAUAAGAUGGGCAUGCGUCCAAUUAGUUAGUUGGCGAGGUAACGGCUCACCAAGACGAUGAUUGGUAGGGGAACUGAGAGGUUAAUCCCCCACACUGGCACUGAGAUACGGGCCAGACUCCUACGGGAGGCAGCAGUAGGGAAUAUUGGGCAAUGGAGGCAACUCUGACCCAGCCAUGCCGCGUGCAGGAAGAAGGCGUUAUGCGUUGUAAACUGCUUUUAUAUAGGAAGAAAUAGACCUUGCGAGGUAAGUUGACGGUACUAUAUGAAUAAGCACCGGCUAACUCCGUGCCAGCAGCCGCGGUAAUACGGAGGGUGCAAGCGUUGUCCGGAUUUAUUGGGUUUAAAGGGUGCGUANGCGGUUUAUUAAGUCAGUGGUGAAAGACGGUCGCUCAACGAUUGCAGUGCCAUUGAUACUGGUAGACUUGAGUGGG
rnacentral:rRNA from 1 species